AUGACCAAUGUGACCACCACCACCACCACCACCACCACCACAAUCAAUGCCAAGACCGUCAACAUCACCAAGACCAUUUUUAAUGUCACCACCAGCAUCAAUGUAACCAGCACCAGGAGCACCAGCAAUGUCACUACCAGGAGCUUGCUCGGGUUCUCUGAGUCCGGAGGGGGCCUCGUGAGUCCUGGGGGGACCCUGACCCUGGUCUGCAAGGGCUCCGGCUUCACCUUCAGCAGCUACCACAUGGGAUGGAUCCGACAGGCACCCGGGAAGGCGCUCGAGUUCAUCGCGAGUAUUAACAGCGGUGGUAGUAGCACAUGGUACGCGUCGGCGGUGAAGGGACGCUUCACCAUCUCCAGGAACAACGGGCAGAGCACGCUCACCCUGCAGAUGAACAGCCUCAAGGCCGAAGACACCGCCACCUACUACUGCGCGAAAGAGGCAUACAGUGGUUCUUGUGAUCCUAAUGAAAUUGAUGCUGGUCCUGGUGCUGCUGGUGAUAUUUGUUCUGGUUCUGGUCCUGAUAAUCGUACUGGUGAU